rnacentral:lncRNA from 1 species
GGGGGUGUGAGGGGAGGCUGUGGAGUCCCGGUGAGGCGGAUGUGCACUGCCCUGGGAUGGAUCUGAAUCUUCUUUUCCCUUUUUUUAGUGCAGGGGGUGUUGUGGGUGUGUGCAGACUUUGUGGCUUCUGCCCAGAGAAGCCAGAGUGGCUGAUUCCUGUGAACGGACCAAAGAAUCCUGUUUAAGUGCCUGUAACGAUAUAAACACAACUGUACUGUAAACCUGACCUAUAGGUAGAUAUAUAGAGAUAAUAUUUUUUUUGCAGGGGUUGACAUCCCGAGGGCUUCGAGGCGGGGAUGUCCUGCGUGGGGAAACGUUUGUGUUGUAUGGGUUGGGGGGUUGCAGCGAUGCGUCGCCGGGUUCUGGCUUGGAUUGACUGCGUGUAACUGCCUGGAAUGGGGGGGUGCUGCUGGGGGGGUGGUGGGUCGACUGGAGCUCUCCAUCCUGCAGAGCCUGAAGGUGGUUUGGCCCAUGGGGGGGGUUAUGGGGAGGGGGGGGGGGGGGGGGGAGGGGGGGGAUGCAGAUCGGAGUGGCGGCCCUGGGCUGUGCAGGGCGCUGUGUUUUGUAGGGGAAUGGGAAAUGCUGUUGUUGGCACGCGGCGGUCGGGGCUCUGUGGGAAGAGCAGACUUGUCCUUGAAGCACAGGGAGUGCAGGAGGCCGUUAUCUCACGGUGGGGGCCGUGUCCUUGAAGGGGGGGGGGGGAUGCACAGCCCCCAUCCUCCUCCACUUCGGGGCAGGUCCCGUUCAGAGGCAGCCGCUGUGAUCCCAGCACUGUGAAGCAUUGGGGCUCAUCCCCUAUCUGGAAGCUGAGCUCCUGGGGUCCCCUAUGGGGGUGUGGUUGGUGUUAGGAGGAAUUCUGUCUUCCAAAUGAACCCUGUUGGGUCUCGAGGGCUCCGGGGCGGCUCUGCUGGGUGUGCAGAGAGCAAAAAGAGCCUUUCCCUGAGCUGCCCCUUCUCACCAAGCACCAUCUCAGGCUGGGGUGGUGGGAAGGCAGCUGGGUGCUCCCCGUGAGGCUAACAGACCCAGCAUCUCUACUAACUCCUUUUUGUUCCUGUGACGAUGUACGGGGCGGGCAGACCUGCUCAAUAAAGUCUAGAGACUUGGAAUGUGUCUAGCCAGAUGGCUGCCUUCUUUAGGGGAUGCCGUGGGGGCUCUUUGCACCUAACACCAACUAACCCAGUUUCCCAUCGGUGCAGCUUUGCUCCCUGCCAAGCCGAUCCCAUGCAGGAAGCACCGGUGAUGCCACAGCAGCUCCGGGUGUCACUGUGGCUUUUCCUGCAGGGCAGCUUUGCUUCCGUGGGCCAUUUGCUCACCAGCAGCCUGCAAACUGCUUGGUGCUCUGCUCCGUGCAAAGCUGUCCCAAGGGCAGCUUCCACAUCCUCACCACCGCCGCCCAUUGGAGCCCCACGACACGUAGCAUGCUUCUCUCCACUUCUCCAGGCUGCUGACUCUCUCCCUACAGAAACAGAGGUGCACUAAACUGAGAUAUCCCCCCCCCACCCCCAUUGCAGAUGUGUUUCCCUACAGCUGACAGCUCAGCCUACGUUGAGAUUGCACUUUUGGGUUGUGGAGUGUGCGUGGUGGGACUCUUAUGAAUGGGUUGAAUCCGAAUUUUCUAGACCUUGCAGUGAUACUGUGCUGCUCCUGUGAGGGGGCUUCGGGAAGAUUCCAGUAGCUUGAAUGGCACUUGAUUUUUUUUGUUCUAAGUGUUUGUUUUUUUUUUUCCUACACCUGUAUCACCUGUCAUGCGAUGGGCUUGACAUAGACUCACUAGAUUCUUUAGAAUCUGUUUAAAAAUAAAUACAGUGUAUUCAAAUCUGUUGGGGUUUUUCAUUUGCUUUCUCUGUCAGGGCACGGUGGUGGUGCUGCUGCUGUCCUUAUUGGGAAGAACCAGAACGGAGGGGGGGUUUGGAGCAGCUGUGGGGUCCUGGUUCUCCCCCUGUCCCAAAGCCUGCGGGCACAGAGCUGGCAGCUUUCUGUUUGUAAUGCUGUCCCAUGGCUGUCCUCACUGGGGUCCCUGUUCCCGCUGGUCCCAUGGGUGUGCUGCUCUUUGGUUGCCAUCUGGGCUCUCUGCUGCUCCUGCCUUCCCACAGGUAGCAUCCCCUGCCCGUGGUCACCAACACCGCCUUGCUCCUCUGGUGUAGGGCUGUGUUUGGGGCAGCACUCCCCAGCAAGGUGCUUCCCAAUGGGAUGGGAGGGCUGGGAAGCUGGGGGGAGCCUUUGUCUAGC